rnacentral:lncRNA from 1 species
AGUUUCAGUCCAAAUGGAUCUUCCUAUUUAUGCGAUUGCUAUGAAACAAGGAGGACAAUUGAUUGUGAUUAUGUUCAAAGAAGGAAAGUUUCCUCUUCUAGACCUUUUGUGGUACAAGGCUGUACCUCUUUAAGUACCUCUAAGGAUAACCAGAAAGUGUAUAGCUAAACAUAACAGACGCACAAGUAACCUGGAGAGUCAUGUAUUAUAGAAAUGCAACCAUCUUCACACACCUCGUAAUCACAUUUUCACCUGCCCAUCUGGUGCAGACCUGGUCUUAUUAGUAAAUGUACUAAACACAAAAUCAUGUUUGUGUUUCAAAAACAUAUACUGAAGACAAUUUGCAAAAAUAAGUAAUGCUUAAUUUUUUUUGAAAUAAAAGCAGGGAAUACAUAUUUCAAGAUGUUCUUUUUUAAAAACUACAAUUAUUGAGGCAUAUAGGAAAAUAUCUUGGUAUACUUAGAUACUUUUAAAGGACUACCUAGCCUGAAACCCUUUAAAUUACUACUUUAUUGAAAAAAAAAUUUAAGGUAAAUUCUUCCUCUGGCAUGUCAUAAAAUGAACUAGAGGUUUAAAAGUACUCAUGCAGAUGUCUUUAUUUCAUUGUAAAUUGAUCGCAUAAUCAAAUUAAGCCUUUUAAAAUGUUCUCCAAAUGACACAGGCUUUUGUAAAAAAUCUGAUUGUUCUCACUCUACAUUGAACAUAAAAUUAAAUUACAAAUGAACAGAUUAAGUAUAGAAUUUAGAUCUAAUCAUCACAGAAAUAUUCUUAUCUGAAGCAAUUAUGACCAAUACUUAAUAAGUAAUUUAAAAAAUUAAGUGAGGAAUUAUUAUAGAUUUAUACAUACAUGAUGCCAACCUAAAUCCACUAAUUAAAUUUAAAGCAAAUAUAUAUUUUAUAUAGGGUCAAAGCUUUUCUUUGUAUGAGGGUCAAAGUUUGGAUUUCAUGCUAUCUUCCAUACACCAACUCGUAAUAUACAUAUAGACUUUUUCUUUUUAGUUUCUUUGAAGUAGAGUGCAAAUUCAGUGAUACACACACACAAAAAAACCCUAAGUUUAGAAACUUUUUGGAAUUUUUUUCAGUUUUUCACAGUUGCCCUGCCUAUACCUGAUUUGGAAAAAAUUUCUUUUAACCACUCAUUUAUCAAGUCUUUCUAAAGCAUUCACUUUUGGAUUUCAUAUACACAGUAUCUUCUUUUCUUUGAACAUUUUUAUGUCAUCAGUCCAUGUAAUAUUGAAUUAAGUUAUAUAUGUUGAUACAUAAGAAAUGAUGUAAAUAGUUUUGGAAAAAAAAAGGAAAAGUUUCCUUCAAAAGCACCCUACUCAACUGUUAGGCAUAAAAUAGUUAUAGGAAUACCAGAAAGUAGAAUUUAGCAUGAUGUUGAUAUCAGUAUUAGCUAAUCAUUGAGUCCACAUUUAAGUGAGGCUGUUUAAGAGGUGUUCUGAAUAUCUAUUUAUCAUUGUGUGUGUGUGUGUGUGUGUGUAUUCUUACACCUCAUAAGAUAGAGGCGAAAUAAUGAAGUGGAAGUUAAGAACCCAACAAUUUUUUUCCCACUUUUUAUGACAAGACCGAGUAUGGUUUUUGUUUGUUUUCUCUAUUUUGGAAAGAUUCAAUACUGCUUUUUAUUCUUUUUUAUCCCUAUGGCCUAGAACAUACAUGGUUCAUAUGUGGUGACAGUAUACUAGCUAUUGACCACAGGCAAGUUCUGUGUAUCAUCUUCAUCUAUAAAAUGUCAAUAAUAAAAUAACUUAUUUUAUGAAUUCUCUGGAUUAAUAAGUGGACCAACAGCAGAGACUAGUACCUGGCUCAUAGUAAGUACUCAAUAGUUGGUAUCUACACUAUCAAUGAAAAAUUACUGUCAUCAAAUCAUUAUUCUCUUUCAGUAUUUACCCAUUGAAAAUAAGAUCUAGUGAAAAAUGGAAAAGAAAAACAAGAAUUGGGAAUCUUACAUACUAUUUAAUUGUUCAAAACUGUUACUACUUGUUCGUGUACUGUACUACUUGUUAAGAACAUUUAAGUAAAACAUACAUUCAUUCAACAUUCAUUAAUAAUCUUAAAUCUUAGUUAAAUUGCCAAAAUUCCACUAUUAUAAAAAUGUACAAUUCCUUGUUAACCCUUUCAUCUUGUUUUUCCUAUUUAUUAAUGUUUUAAGCUAUUUUUAAUGAAAUAUUGUAUGGAAAAAAAGUGAGGCUGUUAUGUGUGGACUUGUGUUCUGAAAUAGGUACUCCACAAAAAAUUAAAAGCUAACACGGCCAUUUUGAAUAAAAAUAAAUACCUAUACGAAACAUCUUUCCAAAAUUUUUUCCCUGAAAGCCUUUUUUGGACAUAUGGAGAAAAAUAAAUAUUACAAAGGACCCAAAUCUAUUCCUUCCACAUAUGUUACUUUCACUGGUAAUAUGAGUUACAAGAAGACAAGUCCUACUAUUUACUAACAAGAACUUCUUGAACAAUUGUCUUCAGUAAGCACUGAUUUUUUUCCCCCUCCUUUUAAUCCAGGAAAAGUUGUGCUUUCUUUUUUUUCACCCCUUCAAUGGGCUAUGCAAAAAGUUUAUUCCUUAACUGCAAAAGAAGCUCUAAGUUAAAAAAAAAAAAAAAGGUUUUUUUGAUGUAUAGCUCACUUAACUAGAACAGAGUGAAUACACAUAACAUAAUCAGCCAUUCUAUUUAGAUUUUUAACAAUCCUCUUUUUUGGAAAAACCCAUAGCCAUUUCUUUUGUCUACUUAGUAAUAUCACACUUGAUGAUACUUAGAUGAUCUAUCAACACUGCGUUGGUGGCUGAGUGGUUUCAGGUUGUAAUACACCUUAAGUGAAAUUCAUCUGCCAUUUCCUCUCUUCAUCAAUAAUGUGAAUUACAUCAUAGAUGUUUUAAGGAAACCAUUUUUUUAUGCUUGGUCAUAAACUAGACUGUAACAAUGAUUAGAAUUGAAUAUAAGCAUUAAGAAGUCCCAAGAAACAACAGAGAGGAAGUAUUUAUUUAUGUAGUUUAGAACAUUAACACAAUAUUCCACUGUCAUAGACCAAUGCUGGGCCUGAUGUGGCCCUUUUUCUGUUGUUUAUUUUUCUAUAUCGUCUGAGUAUCUUAACAUUAAUACAAGUAUUAAUUGGAAAACCCCAAAAAGCUAGAUCGAUACAUACCUAAAGACUUCACAUUUCCUAAAGCAGAAUUACUUUUGAUUGAUAAAUCCAUUUCAUCCAGUGUAAAUUAAGGGCUUUAGCUUGGGAGAACUAUGGGGCAUUUUAGAACUAUUCUACUAGUUUGGUGCCUAGGAGUUAGAAAGUUAUCUUUCAGUCUAGCUAGUGGUUACUGUGACUGCUUCAUGAUUUGAGAAAGGGAACUAUUACUGUAAUUCCACCCCUUUAGUACAGAAAAAAUACUGAGACACAUCUUGAAUACAUUCAGGUAAUUUUAGUAAUCAGUGUGCGUUUGGAGAAAUGCCUGCUGGUAGGAAUGUCCAGAAAAAAAGCCAUUCCAAUGUCUACAGAAAAGCUCUCAAAACAUAUGCCUUCACUUAUAAGUUUAGCUGUUAUUUUUAUGAAAUAAAGUGAAUUUUAACUUCGGUGCUCUGAAAGUCCAGUGUAUCUAGCUUGGCCAUGCUGAGAAUUACAGUCAGGUGACAGCAAACACUUUAGUUGACACUCUUUUAGUUGAAGGUUCUCUACAACCUAUUUAUCUUGUCUUCAUAGGUUGUGCGUAAAACCUGAUGUUCUCAAUCACUGUAAAUAACUGCACAUGUCAAUAUGAAAUCUUCCUGGAUCAGGCUGACACUCCUCUACUAUGUGUGGUUAGAAAACACAUGCUUGACCUCUAUGAGCUUCAUUCCUUCACUGUGGUUUAUAUAAAAACCUAAAAUUGAGAGGUUUCUGAAGCAGCCAUCAAUUUUGCAUUGUGAAUUUAUGAGGAGCUUCUCUCCAGGUAAAAUAAAAUGGUAGCCUAGGGCGUCUAUCAAAUGCUUUACACUAUGGGCAUUUAUAGAAUGAAAUCAAAUCUUUUUCUAUAAAGGCAUGCCUUAUUUAAUUUUCCAAAGAAUAGACAGUAGGGGAAAAAUUUUCUCUCUGAGUGUUUUGAAGCUUUUUUUCAUAAUGGGAUAAGGUAUACCCAGGCAGGUUAUAUUUAAUUCUGCUUGGAGGCAGAAGGAAGGAGUGGAUGACUUUUCAAGGGGCCUUUAUGGCUUUGUUUACUUACAAAUAAAUCUAGAUGAUAGCAUAUAACAGAAGUAUGCUUCAAAUAUGUGUGAUUCCUGAAUGACGCCAGGAAAAGAGACAGCUAUUUUGGAAUACCCAAACUCUUUUUCAAAUUUUACUUAUGCAGGUGGGUUACAUUCCCCUACUAUGCACUUAGCAGUAUUUAAAAAAAAAAAAAAAUCUCUAAAACACAUAGGCCUUUUUGCCUGAGUUAAAUUUGUUUCUUUAGCUGGUAAAGCUUUUCCUUUCCAUAUGGUCAGGAUAGCUAAUUUAGUUUGUCUCUGAGGUGGCCAACAUUAUAGUGUGGUAUCAUAGGAUAUAAAAAUAAAAGAAGGUAUGAAAACCUUAUUCUAAAAAUGAAAUAAAAACAGAUGGGACAUACGUUUCUAACGUAUUUAAUUUGCAUCGUCUUUUUCUCCUUUUAAAGUUCUUGUGGACCAAUCUUGCAAAAAGGCAAAACAAACCCUAAACACUCCAGUUCCAUGCCAGCAAGCUGCCAGGCUGAUCUUUUUAUCUCCAUCAACUCCAUGAAAAAUCAACGAAAAGAAAAAAAAAAAUCAAAACCUGUGCAUUUAAAUGUUCUGAAAAAUUUUAAAAUAAAAUUCUAAAAUAAAAUUCGUGGAGUAUUUUCACUUACAUACUGUGAAACUAUUUCCAAGUGAAAGCAUAGUCAUCUGCAAGGUUGAAUUACCCCAGGGAAACUAAUGAUGACUUUUUUCUGUCUCAUGGGGAUUACAAAGACUUUCCAAAGGUGACUCCAGAAGAGCAUGCAUGUGGCUGUCAAUUUUAGUUUCCUCUCCAAUCAAUAGCUUUUCCUUUCUUUAAUGCUGCCGUAAAAAUUUCAUCAUUUACUCUAAGACACAAUCUCGUAAGUCUUGCUCCUAGAAUCCUGAUUUCAUCAGAUUUGUUCAAUGUAACUUGUUUAGAAACUUACUGCAUAAUACCCCAGUGGUCUUGUACCAGCUACCAUAUGUGAGUAAGACUAGGGCUGUGUGAUGUCAAAGCAAAUGAAUUAGGAGGCAAAAUAAUUUAGACACAUAAUUACUGGUUUUGUCUGGAUAACUGGCUUAACUAUUUUUUUUCUCCACAGCUUCCUGAAUCAACUUUUUAAAUAAAAAAAAAAAAUACUGGAUGAACACACUGGAAAAUUGCUUGAGAACUGCAAGAAUUUGGCUCAAAGUAGAAUAUGUGACAAAUUAUUUUGUAUACUUUUCAUGUUUGGCACAAUUACUUUUUAAAAAAGCAUUUCCAAGAGAGAAGGUUUAGAUCUGCCAUAGGGGUAUAGCUGUUAUUAUUAGCAAGAGAGCAUUUGCAAAUAUAAUUCUUUUUCAACAAUGAAUUAUUUUAAUUUUAUUACUAACCUCAGGAAUACUUCCUUCAUUGAUAGCUAUCCAUAAUUUUAAUUAAAGAUAUAUUCAAGUAAAAGUAUUGACACAUUACUCUUAUCUGAAUAAGCCAAGAUACCUGUUGGAGUAAAAUGUUUUAUUAUCUUUAAUUUUACAGAAGAAUAUAAA